CAAUCAAAAUUUCCCCAAAAUAUUCCCUUCCCCCCAAUUCUGAAAAGGCAAAAGAGAUACCCGCUGAAAUACUUUGCCUAAUUCCAAAUUCCCCACCACUAAAAUAUUUUACCCUUUCCAAAAUUCCCUCUGUUGCUUCAAUGCUAUUUCACCACUACCGCGACCCAAUUUCCUCUAAUGGACUGUAUCAACUCCAAAUAUAGAUCCUUUUUAGGGGUUGGUUUGCCCUAAUUUCAAAUAAUGCCCUCAACUAGAUAACUUGCUCCGCUCCAUCUCUUUCUCCGUCGAACUCGUUUGGUGAAAUCGAGCUAAAACUUGUAGAAUGUAAUUUUGGUUAACUUGUUCAGUGCUAGUCGCCGCGACUUCCUCAUCCGUCAUGAUUUGUUGCUGGAUUGCGAAGGUGAAUAAGAAGGCAGUGGUUGCUCGGUGAUUCCAAGAGGCACAAGAUACUUCAACUUCUUUCUGUUUUGUGGCUGCUUUUAAAUCCUGGUAAAACAAAAACUCUACCUAUAUAA